CCUACGGGUGGCAGCAGUGGGGAAUAUUGCACAAUGGGGGGAACCCUGAUGCAGCGACGCCGCGUGAGCGAUGAAGUAUUUCGGUAUGUAAAGCUCUAUUAGCAGGGAAGAAAAUGACGGUACCUGACUAAGAAGCCCCGGCUAACUACGUGCCAGCAGCCGCGGUAAUACGUAGGGGGCAAGCGUUAUCCGGAUUUACUGGGUGUAAAGGGAGCGUAGACGGUUGUGCAAGUCUGGAGUGAAAGGCAUGGGCUCAACCUGUGGACUGCGUUGGAAACUGUGCGGCUUGAGUGUAUGAGAGGUAAGUGGAAUUCCUGGUGUAGCGGUGAAAUGCGUAGAUAUUAGGAGGAACACCAGUGGCGAAGGCGGCUUGCUGGAUGAUGACUGACGUUGAGGCUCGAAAGCGUGGGGAGCAAACAGGAUUAGAUACCCUUGUAGUC
rnacentral:rRNA from 1 species